UUGGCUUCAUAUUGCCGUUGAAGCAAUCAGAAUGGCUUACGCCGGAUGUGGUUGUGUCGGGCAUUUUCCAGAGUGAGGCCGAUAAAAUCGUUCCCCUCGCUAUCCAGUGCUUCAUUCUUUGUGAAGUAAUUUUGGACGUCGGGGAACUACAUCA